rnacentral:misc_RNA from 1 species
AGAAACCUGAGUUAUGGUCUAGAUGACACAGGACUUAUUAGGCACAUGUCCAAUGAAGAGAAACCUAGUUGGAAACUAAAUUAUUCCUUAAUAUUGCCUUGCAAUGAUGCUAAUUAAACCGGAAACAUGCAAAAUUUGGAUAAAUAUCACACGUGUUCACUCAACUUUAUGAGUAUUUUCAUAAAAAUUAUUGAACUUUAAUUUCUCUCAUACAAGUCACUGAAUCUUAAUUUGGUUUCAUAAAUAUCAUUGUGACCAGAAAUUAAAAGUUUUUAGGUUAACCAGCUAACUUGUCAAUAAUUUUACAAAUAUAAUUACUUUAUUUUAUUAGUUUAAAAAUAAAAUAAAAUACAUAAAACGUAUCAAGCUAU